rnacentral:rRNA from 1 species
AGAGUUUGAUCCUGGCUCAGAACGAACGCUGGCGGCAGGCUUAACACAUGCAAGUCGAACGAACUCUUCGGAGUUAGUGGCAGACGGGUGAGUAACGCGUGGGAACCUACCUUUAGGUACGGAACAACAGUUGGAAACGACUGCUAAUACCGUAUGUGCCCUAUGGGGGAAAGAUUUAUCGCCUAAGGAUGGGCCCGCGUUGGAUUAGCUAGUUGGUGGGGUAAUGGCCUACCAAGGCGACGAUCCAUAGCUGGUCUGAGAGGAUGAUCAGCCACACUGGGACUGAGACACGGCCCAGACUCCUACGGGAGGCAGCAGUGGGGAAUAUUGGACAAUGGGGGCAACCCUGAUCCAGCCAUGCCGCGUGAGUGAUGAAGGCCCUAGGGUUGUAAAGCUCUUUCAGCGAGGAGGAUAAUGACGUUACUCGCAGAAGAAGCCCCGGCUAACUUCGUGCCAGCAGCCGCGGUAAU